GUAUUGUCUACUCGGCACUGGGAACAAUUCCAUCCCCAACUCCCAGGCAAACAGCUUCAGGAUUCUGCCUGAAACUUAAACGACUGAGAUAUCUAUACCUAUAAACCAGCAUUUUCCUUUAAAAUCCAAAUGCAUCCAAGGUGGCUAAGGAGGGCAAAGAUUCACACUUCACUUUUAAUUAUUUUAAUUUAUUUAUUUUUCUGCUACAGUCUACCUAUGAGCUGCACCUCAAGGAAUGAAGGAGUGCUUGUUUGGACAAGUUUGGAAGGCUGGAAAGGUCAUCUGGAAGAUGAGGGAAUUAUAAGUAGCAGACUGAAGAGCAGAUCGAGGACAAGAAAGCUGACACAAAAGGCCAGAUCACAUUUCUGUGAAUUUUUGACACUCAGAAGAGAAAUGGUAAUUUAUAACAAUUAUAGAAAAAUCAGAAAAUACAUACUGUAAACAUAAAGAAGAUAAGAAUCACCUAUACUGAUCGAGAAAUCUUAUCUUUAAACACUGAUUCUUCCUAUCAGGAACAUCGUCUGCUUUUCCAGUUAUUUAAAUCUUUUAUGUCAUUUUGUUUCAUUGUUGUUGUUUUCCCAUGUAAGUCUUCAACAUUUUUACUAGAUUUAUUUCUAAGUGAUGCAAUGUUUUGUUGCUAUAAUGAAUGGAUCCCUUUCCCCUAACAUUAUCUAGUAAGUUAGUGUUAGAAGCUAUCAAUUUUUCAAAGGUUGAUCACAUAUUGGUACUAAAUUUCCUUGUUUGUUCUACUAGUUUAACCAUAACCUCUGAAAUAGUUUUGUUUCAACCUUUCCAUUUACUUGUAUCUAUGUCUUUCUUCCCUGAUUUAGUGUGUUGACAAAAGCCUCAAAUACAAUGAUAAAUAGUUAUGGUGGAAGUAGGUAUUCUUAUCUUGUUCUUUCAAGGGGAUGCUUGCUUUGAAUGUCUAUUAGGAUAAUGCUUGCUCUAAGGUUGUGAUAAAUUCUCUAUAAGGAAGUUUUCCCCUCUCAUUAGCUCUCUAAAGCAUUUUAAUAGAAACAGUAUUCAAUUUUAUCAAGUUCCUUAUUCAACGUCAGAUGAUCAUUUGGUUUCUAUGUCUUUAAUCAGUAUGGCAAUUUGUAUUAAUAGAGUUCAUAAUGUUGAAAUAGUUCUGUAUUUCUAGAACAAACUCUCUUGGUCUUAAUGUGAGAGUCCUUUAAUAUACUGCCAUAUUCUGUGCUAAUACUAUAUUUGGGAUAUUUGUUUCUAUGUACAUAAGUGGCAUUAGUUUCUUGUGGAUUUUAGGGGGAAAGCAGUACUUUCCAUUUUGGCUUGUUAUCAGGAUUUUGUUGGUCUCAGAAUGAAAUAGGAAGCUUUUUAUUCCUUUCUUUGCCCUGGACUAUUUACACAACAAAAUAAUUACCUGUUCUUCAAUCGUAUGGUAGAAUUCUCUCAAACUCUUCUGGGUCUGUUAUCUUUUUUUUUCUAAGAAGUA